rnacentral:sRNA from 1 species
ACAAAAAGUUCAAAAUAGAAUUUACUUUCAAAAUUGUUUGUUCCCCCAGAGCUAGUUAAUAAACUCCAUUUGCAGAUAAAAGCAUACUUUCCCUUCAAAGGUAUUUCACCAAGACGGGAAACACAAAUCUAAAUAAGCUGGGAAACUGAGGAUACACAGAGGGUCUCCUUAAUCUCUGGAUAUGUGGUCUAAUGUAUCCUUUUUGUGCUCAUUUUUUCCCUUUUAUCCAGAAAUAUAACAUUACCUUUUUAUAAAAUUCCUGGAGAUUGAUCAUAUCUCUAGUGUUUGGGUCUAGAAUGUAUUUCUUGGCUAAAACAUCUCUUUACGCCACUUCCACAUGUGGAAAGAAAGAAAACAUGGGACUCUAAUCUCACAAGUGAGGCAUGGGGUUGUUUCCUGAAAUGAGACAAGGACUUUGGACAAGAACAUGUUUGGGCUUGAGAUGGUUUUCGUAAACCCAAAUGAUAUUAGUUCUAGUCUGUCUUUAUUGCUCACUGUAUUUUGUUUUCAUUCAUACUGAUGAAUAAUAGACUUGAUUGUGUUCCAUCAUUUAUGUCAUUAAUAUUUCCUUUAUGUUUGAGUGCUGUGCAGUUCUCCUUGAAACUUGUAUGGAGAUUGAACUUGAUAGUGAUUUAAAGUAAUUAAUUCAUAUGUCAGUUGUUAGCAAGGUCCAGUAAUUAAAAUCUACUUUAGAAUAAGUUAUUAACUCUCCAAAAUAAAAAUGCUUUAUCAACUUAC